rnacentral:misc_RNA from 1 species
AAGUCGUAACAAGGUUUCCGUAGGUGAACCUGCGGAAGGAUCAUUAACACGUAUCCAACGUUAAACAACUCUGUGAACCUUCACCCCUGCUCUCCUUGUAUUUCGGUACUUGGAUUUGAUGCGGUCGAAGCAAUUAGACUUGCCUCUGUGGGGUAGUCAGUGGGUGAAAGUGCCACUGGUUACUUAAGCGGAGUACUGCACCCGGACUAACCGGGGUGGGAUCAUCGAGUGUCCUCACGGCCGAUGAACAAGUCUCUGAGCGCAAGCUCCAAUAUUAACCCCGUCUUUAAUCUUGAGUGAGCUGUCGCUUCGGCGCCGCCACUGUCGUGAAAGCUGAACAACUGUUAACAAUGGAUAUCUUGGUUCUC